UUAAGCGACUAAGCGUACACGGUGGAUGCCCUGGCAGUCAGAGGCGAUGAAGGACGUGCUAAUCUGCGAUAAGCGUCGGUAAGGUGAUAUGAACCGUUAUAACCGGCGAUUUCCGAAUGGGGAAACCCAGUGUGUUUCGACACACUAUCAUUAACUGAAUCCAUAGGUUAAUGAGGCGAACCGGGGGAACUGAAACAUCUAAGUACCCCGAGGAAAAGAAAUCAACCGAGAUUCCCCCAGUAGCGGCGAGCGAACGGGGAGCAGCCCAGAGCCUGAAUCAGUGUGUGUGUUGGUGGAAGCGUCUGGAAAGGCGCGCGAUACAGGGUGACAGCCCCGUACACAAAAAUGCACAUGCUGUGAGCUCGAUGAGUAGGGCGGGACACGUGGUAUCCUGUCUGAAUAUGGGGGGACCAUCCUCCAAGGCUAAAUACUCCUGACUGACCGAUAGUGAACCAGUACCGUGAGGGAAAGGCGAAAAGAACCCCGGCGAGGGGAGUGAAAAAGAACCUGAAACCGUGUACGUACAAGCAGUGGGAGCCUCUUUUAUGGGGUGACUGCGUACCUUUUGUAUAAUGGGUCAGCGACUUAUAUUCUGUAGCAAGGUUAACCGAAUAGGGGAGCCGAAGGGAAACCGAGUCUUAACUGGGCGUUAAGUUGCAGGGUAUAGACCCGAAACCCGGUGAUCUAGCCAUGGGCAGGUUGAAGGUUGGGUAACACUAACUGGAGGACCGAACCGACUAAUGUUGAAAAAUUAGCGGAUGACUUGUGGCUGGGGGUGAAAGGCCAAUCAAACCGGGAGAUAGCUGGUUCUCCCCGAAAGCUAUUUAGGUAGCGCCUCGUGAAUUCAUCUCCGGGGGUAGAGCACUGUUUCGGCAAGGGGGUCAUCCCGACUUACCAACCCGAUGCAAACUGCGAAUACCGGAGAAUGUUAUCACGGGAGACACACGGCGGGUGCUAACGUCCGUCGUGAAGAGGGAAACAACCCAGACCGCCAGCUAAGGUCCCAAAGUCAUGGUUAAGUGGGAAACGAUGUGGGAAGGCCCAGACAGCCAGGAUGUUGGCUUAGAAGCAGCCAUCAUUUAAAGAAAGCGUAAUAGCUCACUGGUCGAGUCGGCCUGCGCGGAAGAUGUAACGGGGCUAAACCAUGCACCGAAGCUGCGGCAGCGACGCUUAUGCGUUGUUGGGUAGGGGAGCGUUCUGUAAGCCUGUGAAGGUGUGCUGUGAGGCAUGCUGGAGGUAUCAGAAGUGCGAAUGCUGACAUAAGUAACGAUAAAGCGGGUGAAAAGCCCGCUCGCCGGAAGACCAAGGGUUCCUGUCCAACGUUAAUCGGGGCAGGGUGAGUCGACCCCUAAGGCGAGGCCGAAAGGCGUAGUCGAUGGGAAACAGGUUAAUAUUCCUGUACUUGGUGUUACUGCGAAGGGGGGACGGAGAAGGCUAUGUUGGCCGGGCGACGGUUGUCCCGGUUUAAGCGUGUAGGCUGGUUUUCCAGGCAAAUCCGGAAAAUCAAGGCUGAGGCGUGAUGACGAGGCACUACGGUGCUGAAGCAACAAAUGCCCUGCUUCCAGGAAAAGCCUCUAAGCAUCAGGUAACAUCAAAUCGUACCCCAAACCGACACAGGUGGUCAGGUAGAGAAUACCAAGGCGCUUGAGAGAACUCGGGUGAAGGAACUAGGCAAAAUGGUGCCGUAACUUCGGGAGAAGGCACGCUGAUAUGUAGGUGAAGCGACUUGCUCGUGGAGCUGAAAUCAGUCGAAGAUACCAGCUGGCUGCAACUGUUUAUUAAAAACACAGCACUGUGCAAACACGAAAGUGGACGUAUACGGUGUGACGCCUGCCCGGUGCCGGAAGGUUAAUUGAUGGGGUCAGCGCAAGCGAAGCUCUUGAUCGAAGCCCCGGUAAACGGCGGCCGUAACUAUAACGGUCCUAAGGUAGCGAAAUUCCUUGUCGGGUAAGUUCCGACCUGCACGAAUGGCGUAAUGAUGGCCAGGCUGUCUCCACCCGAGACUCAGUGAAAUUGAACUCGCUGUGAAGAUGCAGUGUACCCGCGGCAAGACGGAAAGACCCCGUGAACCUUUACUAUAGCUUGACACUGAACAUUGAGCCUUGAUGUGUAGGAUAGGUGGGAGGCUUUGAAGUGUGGACGCCAGUCUGCAUGGAGCCGACCUUGAAAUACCACCCUUUAAUGUUUGAUGUUCUAACGUUGACCCGUAAUCCGGGUUGCGGACAGUGUCUGGUGGGUAGUUUGACUGGGGCGGUCUCCUCCUAAAGAGUAACGGAGGAGCACGAAGGUUGGCUAAUCCUGGUCGGACAUCAGGAGGUUAGUGCAAUGGCAUAAGCCAGCUUGACUGCGAGCGUGACGGCGCGAGCAGGUGCGAAAGCAGGUCAUAGUGAUCCGGUGGUUCUGAAUGGAAGGGCCAUCGCUCAACGGAUAAAAGGUACUCCGGGGAUAACAGGCUGAUACCGCCCAAGAGUUCAUAUCGACGGCGGUGUUUGGCACCUCGAUGUCGGCUCAUCACAUCCUGGGGCUGAAGUAGGUCCCAAGGGUAUGGCUGUUCGCCAUUUAAAGUGGUACGCGAGCUGGGUUUAGAACGUCGUGAGACAGUUCGGUCCCUAUCUGCCGUGGGCGCUGGAGAACUGAGGGGGGCUGCUCCUAGUACGAGAGGACCGGAGUGGACGCAUCACUGGUGUUCGGGUUGUCAUGCCAAUGGCACUGCCCGGUAGCUAAAUGCGGAAGAGAUAAGUGCUGAAAGCAUCUAAGCACGAAACUUGCCCCGAGAUGAGUUCUCCCUGACUCCUUGAGAGUCCUGAAGGAACGUUGAAGACGACGACGUUGAUAGGCCGGGUGUGUAAGCGCAGCGAUGCGUUGAGCUAACCGGUACUAAUGAACCGUGAGGCUUAACCUU
rnacentral:rRNA from 1 species